rnacentral:tRNA from 2 species
GUCAGUAUGGCGGAGUGGUUAACGCGCUAGACUGUAUGUAUCCUUCGUGUGAAGCUCCACUCGAAUCAUCGACUAACCUCCUGACAGUGAACAUCCAUUCGAGUUAUCUAGUUCAUUCGUGAUCCUAGGUUCGAACCCUAGUGCUGACG